rnacentral:snRNA from 1 species
GAGCUCACUUGGGCAGCACGUAUGCUAAAAUUGGAAGGAUACAGAGAAGACUAGCACGGCCCCUGCUCAAGGAGGACACGCAAAUUUGUGAAGCAUCCCGUGUCUGU